UACAGAGGUGGCAAGCGUUGUUCGGAAUUACUGGGCGUAAAGGGCGAGUAGGUGGCCAUCUAAGUCAGACGUGAAAUCCCCCGGCUUAACCUGGGAACUGCGUCUGAUACUGGACGGCUAGAGUAUGGGAGAGGGAUGUAGAAUUCCAGGUGUAGCGGUGAAAUGCGAAGAUAUCUGGAGGAAUACCGGUGGCGAAGGCGGCAUCCUGGACCAUUACUGACACUGAAACGCGAAAGCUAGGGGAGCAAACGGG
rnacentral:rRNA from 1 species